GGGGAUUUAGCUGAGUGGUUCCAGCACCUGUCUUGCAAGCACAAGGACCCGAGUUCAAUCCCCA
rnacentral:tRNA from 1 species